CAAUUUCGUGGAUGUUAAGAUUGAUAUAGGCUGGUUGACAAUAGGGGCAUCCGAAAAUUUGAUCAUUUUGAUGUGUAGAGGCCAUUGUUACACUUUGCAAAGAAGAAGAUGUAUAUCAUCUGAAAAUUACACUUAUAUGUAUGUGCUGGCUAGUGUGUUCCAUUUCCUUUUGUUUUGUUAUUUGGCAAAGGUUACACUUUUGUAUAGGGGAACAAUACCACCCAUCUUUCCUUUUGAAGUGUUGUUUGAAGAAAA